rnacentral:lncRNA from 1 species
UUUUCCGUAAGGCCAGCGGCUGAGAGGGGGCUGGGCCGCUGCAGCAGAUGAAAAGCCUUCCAGGACCGUCCAACCUUCCCAGGAAUGCCCAGAAUUCCAGUUCCUAAUUAUGACAUCCACGGAGAAGAGGCCCAACACCCCUCUCUGCCACCACAACGGCAAUUACAAACACACACUUGGCACUUUGCAGGUGUGGCGAACUUGACCCACUUUCUGGAGGUGUUUGGGAUCAAUUCACAGAUUCCUGUGAAUCCUUCUGGACGACAGGCCGACGCUUGGCUCUUCAUACGUCCAAACAAAGUUUCCAGUGGUUACAAAUACAUUUUUGUAGAUUUCACAGUUGCAGUGUUUUUAACAUCGCAUGAACUGGGAUAGGAAUCACAAACAAACUUUUCUGGCUGUCCCAGAUUCCAAAUUAAAGAAGGAUGUUUUAGGCCAAUAAGACGCUAGAUGUUUAUUAUAUGUAUUCAAUCCAUAAAAUUUACUCUUUUAGACUUUGU